rnacentral:rRNA from 1 species
GACGAACGCUGGCGGCGUGCUUAACACAUGCAAGUCGAACGGAAAGGCCCUGCUUUUGUGGGGUGCUCGAGUGGCGAACGGGUGAGUAACACGUGAGUAACCUGCCCUUGACUUUGGGAUAACUUCAGGAAACUGGGGCUAAUACCGGAUAGGAGCUCCUGCUGCAUGGUGGGGGUUGGAAAGUUUCGGCGGUUGGGGAUGGACUCGCGGAUUAUCGGCCUGUUGGUGGGGUAGUGGCUUACCAAGGCUUUGACGGGUAGCCGGCCUGAGAGGGUGACCGGCCACAUUGGGACUGAGAGACGGCCCAGACGCCUACGGGAGGCAGCAGGGGAGAAUAUUGCACAAUGGGCGGAAGCCUGAUGCAGCAACGCCGCGUGCGGGAUGACGGCCUUCGGGUUGUAAACCGCUUUCGCCUGUGACGAAGCGUGAGUGACGGUAAUGGGUAAAGAAGCACCGGCUAACUACGUG